rnacentral:rRNA from 1 species
UACGUAGGGUGCGAGCGUUGUCCGGAAUUACUGGGCGUAAAGAGCUCGUAGGUGGUUUGUCGCGUUGUCCGUGAAAAACUCACAGCUCAACUGUGGGCGUGCGGGCGAUACGGGGCAGACUGGAGUACUGCAGGGGAGACUGGAAUUCCUGGUGUAGCGGUGGAAUGCGCAGAUAUCAGGAGGAACACCGGUGGCGAAGGCGGGAUCCUG